rnacentral:rRNA from 1 species
AUUGAACGCUGGCGGCAGGCCUAACACAUGCAAGUCGAGCGGCAGCGGAAAGUAGCUUGUUACUUUGCAGGCGAGCGGCUGACGGGUGAGUAAUGUCUGGGAAACUGCCUGAUGGAGGGGGCUCACUACUGGAAACGGUAGCUAAUACCGCAUAACGUCGCAAGACCAACGCGGGGGACCUUCGGGACUCUUGCCAUCAGACGGUCCCAGAUGGGAUUAGCUAGUAGGUGGGGUAAUGGCUAACCUAGGCGACGAGCCCUAGCUGGUCUGAGAGGAUGACCAGCCACACUGGAACUGAGACACGGUCCAGACUCCUACGGGAGGCAGCAGUGGGGAAUAUUGCACAAUGGGCGCAAGCCUGAUGCAGCCAUGCCGCGUGUAUGAAGAAGGCCUUCGGGUUGUAAAGUACUUUCAGCGGGGAGGAAGGUGCUGAGGUUAAUAACCUCGGCAAUUGACGUUACCCGCAGAAGAAGCACCGGCUAACUCCGUGCCAGCAGCCGCAGUAA